UACACUCCUGCGGGAGGCAGCAGUGGGGAAUAUCGCACAAUGGGCGCAAGCCUGAUGCAGCCAUGCCGCGUGUAUGAAGAAGGCCUUCGGGUUGUAAAGUACUUUCAGCGGGGAGGAAGGCGAUAAGGUUAAUAACCUUGUCGAUUGACGUUACCCGCAGAAGAAGCACCGGCUAACUCCGUGCCAGCAGCCGCGGUAAUACGGAGGGUGCAAGCGUUAAUCGGAAUUACUGGGCGUAAAGCGCACGCAGGCGGUCUGUCAAGUCGGAUGUGAAAUCCCCGGGCUCAACCUGGGAACUGCAUUCGAAACUGGCAGGCUAGAGUCUUGUAGAGGGGGGUAGAAUUCCAGGUGUAGCGGUGAAAUGCGUAGAGAUCUGGAGGAAUACCGGUGGCGAAGGCGGCCCCCUGGACAAAGACUGACGCUCAGGUGCGAAAGCGUGGGGAGCAAACAGGAUUAGAAACCCGUGUAGUCCCAUG
rnacentral:rRNA from 1 species